ACAGGUAAAUUGCAUGUCACAGGGGUCUGUUGUACAGAUUAUUUUGCUACCCAGGUUAGGUCCUGAAGUCACAGAUACCAAGAAAAGAAGAGGAAGGAGAUGACAGCAGUGACAAGAUUUACAGUGCAAAUGAAAAAUGAGACGAAAAUGCUUUCUGUUGGAAUGACCUGGAAUGAAAACUGAAUGCCUCAAUGUAUUUGGCUGUGAAAUAUGAACUUGCACUAUUGCCCUUUUUAUUAUUUGUUAAGAUCUCUCUCCUUCUAGGCUAAAUUCAGGGGUACUAUUGGCUUCAGCUUCAGGAAAGGGGUGCUAACCUUUCCCUAAGCUUUCAGUCAAGGUGAUGGCACCUGGUUUGCGCUUUAAGUUUGUGGCUGUCAAUAAGAGAAGACAAAGAUUUGGCCAGGUGUCGUGGCUCGUGCUUGUAAUCCCAGCACCUUGGGAGGCUGAGGCAGGAGAAUCGCUUGAAGCCAGGUGUUUGAGACCACCCUGGGCAACACAGCAAGACCCCCAUAUCUACCAAAAAUAAAUAAAUAAAUAAUAUAAAAAAAUUAGCCAGACAUGAUGGUGCAAACCCGCAGUCCCAGCUACUUGGUAGGCUGAGGUGGGAGGAUCACUUGAGCCCAGGAGUUUGAGGCUGCAGUACUCCAGCCUGGGCCACAGAGGGAGACCUUAUCUCUAAAAAUUAAAAUUAAAAUAAGUAAAGAAACAAAGAUAUAAAAGGAAGAAAAAUGAGCAGUAAGGAAUAGCCCACCACUCCUACUGCACACCACACUCAUGUACUCCUUACACUGUCCAAGGAGCUAAAAGCACCGAUUAAACAUCAUUGAAAAUGUCUGUUGCAGCUUCCUCCUCCUUUCCCUAGAGUAGGCUUUACUCACACAGGACAGGGGAAAUAAAGGCACAGUAACGUUAAGUGACUUCAGUGCUCAGACUGGAGGAAAAUAAAAAGCUUUGGCUUCCUGAUUUUUUGGACAGUGAGCCUGACUGGGGAGUUUUCUGGAAGUGUCUUCUCAGUCAUUUCAGCAGUAAGUCUCAUCAUCCUGCGUUUGCUCUCUUUCUAUGCCACGGUUGUUAUUGUUGUUGUAAUUAUUUUUUUCCCCCAAAUGCAGCUUUGCCUUUUAGGAUGGCCUGAGGUGGAGCAGGAAUAAUUGCAAGGUGUUUGUGCUCACUCUAUAAACAGCACCUCCUCUCCCACUGCCAAACCAGGGAGGCCCUCAGAUCAGUUGACUGUACAGAUCAGAGCCACCUAAAUAGCCGUUUUUAAUCCAUCCUUCAUUUUUCUGGCCCCAGGGAACAGCCAUGUUCUUAUCCCUUCCUUCCAUCUCCUCUAGGCAAACAGUCCACAAACUGUCUCCCUCUGCCACUGAAGUUCUCUCUUCUUCUGGAUUCUUCUCUGUAGGCAGUAAUGAACAACUCUUUCCAGGCUGAGCAUAGUACAUGGCAUAUUAUAUCUGCUCAAUGAAGACAUGGCUGAUUGAUUAAAAAUAUGAGAAUGAGUAUCCUCAGAAAUCUAGUUUGGAAAAGCAAGCCCACUUCCAUCUAAUAUGUUUUCAAAUUAAGAAUCAGACAUACUCUAAAAGUUUGACUUCCAGAUUGGAAGGGAAAGGAAAAUAAAAUCUAAUUACACAUAUCUUAUCACUUUAUUACAGCUCUAAGCCUUUUAAUCCUAUAGAGGAACACACAUUUGGAGGGAUAGCAAAAUAUUUAUAAAAAGUCUGUGUUGGUAUAU
rnacentral:lncRNA from 1 species